CCAAGAUCCAACUUUGUAAAGUGCCUAGCAUCAUUCAGGGGGAAAAAAAUUUACUAUCGACAAACACAUAUUAAAAUACCUGAAGCGAAAGCCCAGACGAAGCCCGAAAUUUCCCAGAUCAUUUUCGACUAAUGAAGCUUAGGGCUCGAAAUUAGAACCCUGGGUUGAUUAAAUUUCAUUAUAUGUAACCCCUGAUCGCAAGAUUUCUUCAUUGGCGGUGGCUUUUUGGUUUCAGUGAAACCUGUUACUACUGGAAUGGUGGUGUGGGUGGCGGGGUCCAUCUAACCACCUUAUUCCGCCACGGAGGACUUUUCUGGCAAACCUGAUACGGGCCCGCAACGUGAAAGGUGCAAUUAUUGGGCCUUUCGGCCCGGAAAUUUACUUUAGACUUGAAUAGGGAUCGCAAAAUCUCUUGAAUUCUCACAUCCCCAGUUGCAUUGUAUAGGAUGGGAAAUAUGGUCUUCGCCUAAAAUUAUUCGGGAAAUUUGUAGAAAU
rnacentral:lncRNA from 1 species